CCUACGGGAGGCAGCAGUGAGGAAUAUUGGUCAAUGGACGAGAGUCUGAACCAGCCAAGUAGCGUGAAGGAUGACUGCCCUAUGGGUUGUAAACUUCUUUUAUAAAGGAAUAAAACGAGGCACGUGUGCCUUUUUGCAUGUACUUUAUGAAUAAGGAUCGGCUAACUCCGUGCCAGCAGCCGCGGUAAUACGGAGGAUCCGAGCGUUAUCCGGAUUUAUUGGGUUUAAAGGGAGCGUAGAUGGGUUGUUAAGUCAGUUGUGAAAGUUUGCGGCUCAACCGUAAAAUUGCAAUUGAUACUGGCGGUCUUGAGUACAGUUGAGGUAGGCGGAAUUCGUGGUGUAGCGGUGAAAUGCUUAGAUAUCACGAAGAACCCCGAUUGCGAAGGCAGCUUACUAAACUGUGACUGACAUUGAUGCUCGAAAGUGUGGAUAUCAAACAGGAUUAGAUACCCGUGUAGUC
rnacentral:rRNA from 1 species